AUUGAACGCUGGCGGCAUGCCUUACACAUGCAAGUCGAACGGUAACAGGUCUUCGGAUGCUGACGAGUGGCGAACGGGUGAGUAAUACAUCGGAACGUGCCUAGGAGUGGGGGAUAACUACUCGAAAGAGUGGCUAAUACCGCAUGAGAUCUACGGAUGAAAGCAGGGGAUCGCAAGACCUUGUGCUAAUAGAGCGGCCGAUGGCAGAUUAGGUAGUUGGUGGGAUAAAAGCGUACCAAGCCGACGAUCUGUAGCUGGUCUGAGAGGACGAUCAGCCACACUGGGACUGAGACACGGCCCAGACUCCUACGGGAGGCAGCAGUGGGGAAUUUUGGACAAUGGGCGCAAGCCUGAUCCAGCAAUGCCGCGUGCAGGAUGAAGGCCUUCGGGUUGUAACUGCUUUUGUACGGAACGAAAAGCCCUGGGUUAAUACCCUGGGGUCAUGACGGUACCGUAAGAAUAAGCACCGGCUAACUACGUGCCAGCCGCCGCGGUAAUAC
rnacentral:rRNA from 1 species